rnacentral:lncRNA from 1 species
UCAUAAUGGAAAACAAUGAAUUUAUUUGGUUGUGUAAUUUAAGGAGCUUCUAUGCUCUCCCAAAAAUGGACGAAAUAAAAGCAAAUCUGGAUACCAACUACUUGGUUGUUGUGCCCGUAGUUCAAAAGGGGAGCUUUUGCUGACCAUUCUUCUCGACCACGAAAGUUUUUCUCAGCAGAACCGAAAACAUAAAUAAGUAAACAAGAAAAAAAAAAAAAACAAUUAAAAAUUUAACUGAAUGAUAACUUGACCCAACAUUAUCAGCAAUGCAACGACUAUAAUCCUAUAUAGUGUCCAAUUCAAAUUCAUUUGCAAGGAAGCCUCGCCUCCAUUAAAAAAAUGGUAUUUCCGCUACGAUAUAACAAUUAUUCUUACAAUGCCCAUAAAAUUGCAGGAUCAAAUCAAUACCUACGGAUCAAGGAUCCAUAGCCCAACACCAAAAGUAAUGGUUCAUUUCCUCCCAUAUAGACAUUAUCCAUUUUAAAUUUAAUGAAUUAUCAUAAUUUUAAAUGAACUCUACACCAUUAUACAUAUAAGUAUUAUUAACGUUGUCCCCCACACUGCGGUGGGAUAUCAUACAAUGGUGGUUUUAUGAUGACAUAAAAAUCAACUAGAACCUAAGAAAGGCAGCUGGGAAAACCAUAUACAUUUGGUGGAGGCUGAUUUAUAGGUUUACGAAAUCGUUAUUGUACAACAUAUGCAAUAUUAUAAAGGAAAAAAAGGCAAUUAGACAUGGUGAGUGUGUGAGAAAGGAAGAGAAGCAUUAGUAGUUGAUAUUGUUUUCAUUCUUUUAUCCUCUCAAAAAAAACCUAGGGAACUUCAAGGUCGAACAGACAACGAAACAAAGAUAAAAAAAUCUGCAAGAGACAGUUCACUUCGCAAGGGUAGCAUUGAAACCACUCACCGAUGCGGACUGACUAAUCUACCAAGCAUACAUCUAUAUGUACGAGAUGCUUAGUCCCUCCGCUAAGCCAAUGGAAUUCCAACACAAAAAUCUGAACCCAGUAAACAGUAAUGAAGAUAGGUUUAUGAGGAGCAAAGGGUGAGGAUAGUACCUGCCGCUUUGGGGUUCGAUCUGGCCCUUUUUAUAGGAUGCUAAAAACAGAAAACUGACCACCCAUCUAUCAAGAAUAAGAGCAUUGACUCACAGAUGGUAUGGAGAGGAGAAAGGGGAAGAUGGGGAGGAGGAGAGAGAGUGAGAGAGAGGGAGUGAAACAACCAAUGAAUGGUAGAUGUGCUCGUGAGUUUCUGAAGUGUUGAUGGAAAAACCUCAUCUCAGACCUUCUUCACAUCGUGACAACUGAC